ensembl:snRNA U4 U4 spliceosomal RNA
AGCUUUGUGCAGUGGCAGUAUCAUAGCCAAUGAGAUUUAUCCGAGGUGCGAUUAUUGCCAAUUAAAGGCAGUAUAGAAGUGUUCCCUUUUCUCCACAUCCAUGUCAACAUCUCUGGUUUGGGGAUUUUGUGAUGUAGGCUAAUCUU